UACGUAGGGGGCAAGCGUUGUCCGGAUUUAUUGGGCGUAAAGAGCGUGUAGGCGGCUAGAUAGGUCCGUUGUGAAAACUCGAGGCUCAACCUCGAGACGCCGGUGGAAACCAUCUAGCUAGAGUCCGGAAGAGGAGAGUGGAAUCCUGGUGUAGCGGUGAAAUGACGCAGAUAUCAGGAAGAACACCCGUGGCGAAGGCGGCUCACUGGCCCGGUACUGACGCUGAGGUGCGAAAGCGUGGGGAGCAAACAGG
rnacentral:rRNA from 1 species